UAUUAAGUAUAACCAUAUACGUAUGUUUUGAAAACGUAAAAAGAAUUUAUUUUCAAUAG
rnacentral:tRNA from 1 species